GCGCUUUUAGUUCAAUUGGUAGAACGUAGGUCUCCAAAACCUGAUGUAGUAGGUUCGAAUCCUACAGAGCGCG
rnacentral:ncRNA from 12 species